UACGGAGGGGGCAAGCGUUGUUCGGAAUUACUGGGCGUAAAGGGCGCGUAGGCGGCCCGCUAAGUCGAACGUGAAAUCCCCGAGCUCAACUCGGGAACUGCGUCCGAUACUGGUGGGCUUGAAUCCGGGAGAGGGAUGCGGAAUUCCAGGUGUAGCGGUGAAAUGCGUAGAUAUCUGGAGGAAUACCGGUGGCGAAGGCGGCAUCCUGGACCGACAUUGACGCUGAACGGCGAAAGCUAGGGGAGCAAACGGG
rnacentral:rRNA from 1 species